rnacentral:tRNA from 1 species
GGUGAUGUAGCUCAGGUGGUAGAGCAUCGGACUGAAAAUCCGUGAGUCGGUGGUUCGAGUCCACUCAUCACCACCA